AUUGAACGCUGGCGGCAGGCCUAACACAUGCAAGUCGAACGGUAACAGGAAGAAGCUUGCUUCUUUGCUGACGAGUGGCGGACGGGUGAGUAAUGUCUGGGAAACUGCCUGAUGGAGGGGGAUAACUACUGGAAACGGUAGCUAAUACCGCAUAACGUCGCAAGACCAAAGAGGGGGACCUUCUGGCCUCUUGCCAUCGGAUGUGCCCAAAUGGGAUUAGCUAGUAGGUGGGGUAACGGCUCACCUACGCGACGAUCCCUAGCUGGUCUGAGAGGAUGACCAGCCACACUGGAACUGAGACACGGUCCAGACUCCUACGGGAGGCAGCAGUGGGGAAUAUUACACAAUGGGCGCAAGCCUGAUGCAGCCAUGCCGCGUGUAUGAAGAAGGCCUUCGGGUUGUAAAGUACUUUCAGCGGGGAGGAAGGGAGUAAAGUUAAUACCUUUGCUCAUUGACGUUACCCGCAGAAGAAGCACCGGCUAACUCCGUG
rnacentral:rRNA from 1 species